rnacentral:rRNA from 1 species
UGCAGUCGAGCGGAACGAGUUAACUGAACCUUCGGGGGACGUUAACGGCGUCGAGCGGCGGACGGGUGAGUAAUGCCUAGGAAAUUGCCCUGAUGUGGGGGAUAACCAUUGGAAACGAUGGCUAAUACCGCAUGAUGCCUACGGGCCAAAGAGGGGGACCUUCGGGCCUCUCGCGUCAGGAUAUGCCUAGGUGGGAUUAGCUAGUUGGUGAGGUAAGGGCUCACCAAGGCGACGAUCCCUAGCUGGUCUGAGAGGAUGAUCAGCCACACUGGAACUGAGACACGGUCCAGACUCCUACGGGAGGCAGCAGUGGGGAAUAUUGCACAAUGGGCGCAAGCCUGAUGCAGCCAUGCCGCGUGUGUGAAGAAGGCCUUCGGGUUGUAAAGCACUUUCAGUCGUGAGGAAGGUUUUGGGGUUAAUAGCUUAUAUAUUUGACGUUAGCGACAGAAGAAGCACCGGCUAACUCCGUGCCAGCAGCCGCGGUAAUACGGAGGGUGCGAGCGUUAAUCGGAAUUACUGGGCGUAAAGCGCAUGCAGGUGGUUUGUUAAGUCAGAUGUGAAAGCCCGGGGCUCAACCUCGGAAUAGCAUUUGAAACUGGCAGACUAGAGUACUGUAGAGGGGGGUAGAAUUUCAGGUGUAGCGGUGAAAUGCGUAGAGAUCUGAAGGAAUACCGGUGGCGAAGGCGGCCCCCUGGACAGAUACUGACACUCAGAUGCGAAAGCGUGGGGAGCAAACAGGAUUAGAUACCCUGGUAGUCCACGCCGUAAACGAUGUCUACUUGGAGGUUGUGGCCUUGAGCCGUGGCUUUCGGAGCUAACGCGUUAAGUAGACCGCCUGGGGAGUACGGUCGCAAGAUUAAAACUCAAAUGAAUUGACGGGGGCCCGCACAAGCGGUGGAGCAUGUGGUUUAAUUCGAUGCAACGCGAAGAACCUUACCUACUCUUGACAUCCAGAGAACUUUUCAGAGAUGAAUUGGUGCCUUCGGGAACUCUGAGACAGGUGCUGCAUGGCUGUCGUCAGCUCGUGUUGUGAAAUGUUGGGUUAAGUCCCGCAACGAGCGCAACCCUUAUCCUUGUUUGCCAGCGAGUAAUGUCGGGAACUCCAGGGAGACUGCCGGUGAUAAACCGGAGGAAGGUGGGGACGACGUCAAGUCAUCAUGGCCCUUACGAGUAGGGCUACACACGUGCUACAAUGGCGCAUACAGAGGGCGGCCAACUUGCGAAAGUGAGCGAAUCCCAAAAAGUGCGUCGUAGUCCGGAUUGGAGUCUGCAACUCGACUCCAUGAAGUCGGAAUCGCUAGUAAUCGUGGAUCAGAAUGCCACGGUGAAUACGUUCCCGGGCCUUGUACACACCGCCCGUCACACCAUGGGAGUGGGCUGCAAAAGAAGUAGGUAGUUUAACCUUCGGGGGG